UUCCUGUACAUGACAUACACUCACACCUCAGACCUCACACCUCUGCUGCCGUCUAGAACCGCCACCGCCGCUCCGUCUCACACCUCCGUUGCCGUCUCACCCUCGCUGUAUUCUCCCUCCUCUGCCAGCCGUCGCCUCUUCCCUCCCCGGCCUGCCGACGUCGCCUCUUCCCUCCAUCAACAUGGUACAGGUUAGUCUUCAACCCUAGUAAAGUGAGAAGAUUCUAUCCUGUGGACCGUUGACAUUUCCAUAUAAGAUCUUUUGACUUGGCGAAUGGAAUUGUUCUUUGAAGCUUAAUUGGCACUUUUAGCUUUUAGGACUUCUAUGAGGAUUUGUUUGAGGAGCUUAGCAAAUAUGAAGAGAUUGAGAAUCUUAACAUCUGUGAUAAUUUAGCAUACCACAUGGUGGGCAAUGUGUAUAUUCAGUUCAGAGAGGAGGAACAUGCUGCUACUGCCCUUCAGGGACAAUGAAGUUCAUAUGAAGUUUGUUGAGUAAUUUUGAAACCAUUUAGUAUCUGAUCUGGAUAAAAUACAUUAUUAUAGAAUGCUCUAAUGUGUUACAAAUUCUUAAAUUUUUUUAAAAGUCAAUCUGAAGUUCGGCUGGCUACUCGUCAGCUUUCCCGCCGCCUUCAACCUCGAGUUUUGUUGACGGAAUAGGAUUCAAAGAGUUUUGUGUUGUCGCCUUUCCCCCUGAAUUUGAGCAUCCAUCUCGUAGUACCAUUGCUAAAUAUUCAAUGGAGAUAUAUAUAGAUCUGAGAGCUAAGCUGAAUAAUCUUUUCAAAAAUGAAAAGCCAAGAGUGUCUCUCACCAUAGAAAAAUUGACAUCCCUUGAAAGUAUUUCUUACAUGUGUCUCGCUGCUCACUGGAUAGAUGGCAAUUGGAAGCUUCAGAAAAGAAUUAUGAACUUUCGUCCAAUUGAGAGUAAUACAGAUAGCUUUAGGAGAUGUCAUAGGGAAGCGCUUACUUGGUUGGGGUAUUGACAAGUUUGUCCGGCACUUGUCUGCUAUGGAGGAUUCACAGUCAGUUGUGACACUCAUGGAUUCCACUACCUCUAAGACACAGCAACUACAGAAAGCAUUUGCUAAGCUUGAGAGUCACCGUGCAGUUACUCUUAACAUGAGGAGAAGCUGAAACAGAAAGGUGUCUUCAGUUCUUUAGCAGCAAAACAUGAGAACUCUAAGAAACGUUUACGACUAGCGAAUGGACAACUUGCAACCUUAAAAGAUUUUGAUGAUGAUGCCAUGGACAUUGAAGGAGGUGUUCAUGGGGUGGCAAUGGCUUAGAUGUUUUCAAAUGGUAUUAAAGAAGGAACAGAGCUGACACAAGCAGAGAAGAAGAGGAGGAGAGCGAAAAAGAAAAGGAAAUUCAAAGCCAAGGCAUUGAACAGGAAGGCACCUCAAAAUACCUCGAGAACAGAUUCCGAGAGCAAUGAAGUGAAGGAACUAGCAUGACUGUACUAGGGUUGUAUUCUAAGUUUUGCUGCUCCUUGAGAACAAUAUGCAAGUUCAAGCGGGAAUUGGGAAACGCGAAGGAAGGUAUAGGAUUUUGAGGCAUUAUAAAAAUAUAGUUUUUUGUUUCCCGUACACAAGGUUAUGGAGUAUUGAUUUAUUGCUAUUAGUUAAUUACGGUGUAUUUCUAUUCUUU